GAAGACGCAGCCGCAGUAGUAGAAGAAGUUACGCCAAACAUGGCUGCUUCAAUGAGACUCUUGGUGCGGCAGUUGGCUCGUCUUUCUCACAGAAAAGUCACCUCCACCGUCUCCGGUGUGUCGUGUCGCUCAGCCUGCUGUUGGAGGACGUCGUCCGGUCGUUGUUUUAGCGACGCAGCGGAAGACAGAAGCACACAUUUCGGUUUCGAGACGGUGUCCGAGGCGGAGAAGGCGAAGAGAGUGUAUAAGGUGUUUGAGAACGUGGCUCAGAAGUAUGACGUCAUGAACGACGCCAUGAGUCUGGGGAUUCAUCGACUGUGGAAGGACGUGCUGCUGCACGUCAUGCACCCCCAGCCUGGUGCUCGGCUCCUUGAUGUUGCAGGUGGAACAGGUGACAUCGCUGUCCGUUUCCUGGACUACGUCCGUUAUCAGCUGGAGAGGCAGAAGCGGCGAGAUACGCCGUCUGGUCAGGGUUCAUCAUGGCAGGACAUCUCAGACGACAGGCGCCGUGAGUCUAGUGCUGUGGUUUGUGACAUCAACAAGGAGAUGCUGAAAAUGGGGAAACAGAAAGCUGACCGCAUGGGCGUCGUCUCUGGGCUGUCGUGGGUGGUGGGAGAUGCGGAGGAGCUGCCUUUUGAUGAUGACCAGUUUGAUAUUUACACCAUCGCCUUUGGCAUUCGAAACGUCACUCGUAUGGAUCAGGCUCUUCAGGAAGCUCUGAGGGUUCUGAAGCCUGGUGGCAGGUUCAUGUGCUUGGAGUUCAGCAAAGUGACUAAUCCUGUCCUGGCACGUCUGUAUGACGCCUACAGUUUCCAGGUGAUCCCAGUUUUGGGAGAAGUGAUUGCCGGAGACUGGAAGUCCUACCAGUAUUUAGUGGAGAGCAUUCGGAAGUUUCCUAACCAGGAGGAGUUUAAAGGCAUGAUGGAGGACGCGGGUUUCUACUGCGUGCAGCACCACGACCUGACCGGAGGAGUGGUGGCGCUCCACUCCGGCUUCAAACUGUGAGGCGCCAAAAAGGGGAAAGACCUGCGUCGUGGUUCAGCCUCACGCGCCUUCUGAAAGACUUUUUAUUCCAACCGAAAGCUUCUCUCUGUGCAGCAGGUCAAAGUGGGGGCAGGUGUGAUGCUGGAGCAGCCAGGGGUCGACACACUUCUUAUGAAAUCUGUGAGCACAAGGGAUAACCCGCAGCUCCUGAGGACAAACACGGAAACAAGACCUGCUGAUGUCGUGCUUCUGCUCUUUUAUUGGCUGAAAUAAUGUGUUGCUGGCGUAAACGUCCACAAGGGGGCAGCAAAGCCCGGCCGAUGGAUCAGGGUUAACGGAGUCUGAAUCUGUUGAAACCAAAUUAAAGCUCAACUUCUGCUGCA